AUAUAUAUAUAUAAUGUAUUUAUGUACAUUUAUAUGUAUAUAUAUGUGUGUGUAUAUAUAUAUAUGUGUAUAUACAUAGAUAUGUUUACAUGCAUGUAUAAUAUUAUAUAAGUAAACGUAUGCGUAUGCAUAUCUAUUUCUGUAUCAGUUCACCUGUUUUUGUAUAUACACAUAUCAUAUGCACACACCCCAACACACACACACACACACACACACACACACACACACACACACACACACACACACACACACACACACACACACACACACAUGUAUGAAAUUUUAUAUCUGUCUUUACGUAUGUCUUUCUGCGUUUGUCCUCUUUCUGUGUUAUCACUUCACUAUAAUGCCUGACAACCGGUGUUGGUUUCUUUAGGCCUCCUGUAAACCGGCUGUCCAAAAAAUGAAAUUGAUACAAUAAGUAUCAGAAUUAAGGAAAAAAAAAACCCAGAAAACGUGGAACGCAAGUACUGCGUUCGUUUUGCUCGGCCAAAACCCUUUCAGAGUAGUGUCCCUGCACGGUCGCUCUCUAACGUCUAAGUCAAGUUAUAAAAAUCGUAAAAAUGUAUUCUCUUUUAGAUGUACACAGAAACGAUAGAAAAUCUAAAGACGAAAUGAAAGACAGUAAACAUUCAACGCACAAAUAAAUGCUCCAGCCUGAGCUUAGUAUUUGAGACGCACUGAAAGGAUAGAAAAAAAAUACAACAAGGAGUUAAGAUAUGCGAUUCAUUUAACCAAAUACUGCAACUUUUCUCGAUCUGCUUCAAACAGAGAAAACGCUGACAGAAUUGAUAGAGACCUUCAGCAAAAGAACUCCUCAAAACACACACAUACACAUGCAUACACACACAUACACACACAUAUACAUACACAUGCACGCACACACACAUACACUCACACAAACACACACACACACACACACGCACGCACAUGCUCUACAUUGCCUGCUUUCAAUGUAGAAUCCUUCAUGUAAAUUUUAAUUUUUGUAUUACGCUAGGGUUUUGUACUUUCUGCGAGACUUUUUGUCUUCUGUGUUGCUAGCAAGGGAAGCUGAUGUCUUAUCUGAGAGGGCCACUAUGAAAAGCAGUCGUGGUAAGACAGUGCCAUGUGGAACACCAAUUACUAUUUGUGUUUCCUUUGGGGUAGCACCAUUGGCCACGACUGCCUGACUUCUGCCUUUCAGAAAGACAUGUAACCAUUCUCCAAGUUUUCUAGCUAAUUCAAGGAUCUCGCAGUUUGUGGCAUAUCACACCAUGAUCAACUUCGUCAAAAGCCUUUUCAAAAUCAAGGUAUAUUACUUCCACAUUUGAGUUGUGGAAUAUCUGCUUCAACGCCCAGUCAUAGUGCUAUAGGAGCUGGUUCAAGCGGC